AUUGGACUACCAUGGCAGUAACGGGUAACGAAGAAUUAGGGUUCGAUUUCGGAGAGGGAGCAUGAGAAACGGCUACCACAUCUAAGGAAGGCAGCAGGCGCGUAAAUUACCCAAUCCUGACUCAGGGAGGUAGUGACAAGAAAUAGCAAACCGGGAACCUCAUGGUUUCACGGUAUUGCAAUGAGAACAGUUUAAAACCCUUAGCGAGAAUCAAGUGGAGGACAAGUCUGGUGCCAGCACCCGCGGUAAUUCCAGCUCCACUAGCAUAUAUUAAAGUUGUUGCAGUUAAAAGCUCGUAGUUGAACCUCUGUCUGGGGCUAGUUUUGGCUUUGGUCAGGCUAGUUCUAGGCAUCCGCCUACAAGACUUAGAGGGCAUUCAGUUGUUCACUAGGAGGAGUAGGCAUUUUACUUUGAAAAAAUUAGAGUGUUUAAGGCAGGCAAUCGCCCGCAUAUAUUAGCAUGGAAUAAUAGAAUAGGACACUUUUCCAUUUCGUUGGUUAUUGGAAUCGUGUAAUGAUUAAUAGGGACAGUUGUGGGCAUUUGUAUUUAAUUGUCAGAGGUGAAAUUCUUGGAUUUAUUAAAGACAAACUAACGCGAAAGCAUUUGCCAAGGAUGUUUUCAUUAAUCAAGAACGAAAGUUAGGGGAUCAAAGACGAUCAGAUACCGUCCUAGUCUUAACUAUAAACUAUUCCGACUCAAUGUUUGACUGGCUUAUAUAACCAGUUGAGCGUUGUAUGAGAAAUCAAAGUCUUUAGGUUCUGGGGGGAGUAUGGUUGCAAAGCUGAAACUUAAAGGAAUUGACGGAAGAGCACAACCAGGAGUGGAUUCUGCGGCUUAAUUUGACUCAACACGGGGAAACUUACCAGGUUAAAACAAUAGUGGGAUUGACAGUUUGAGAGCGCUUUCUUGAUUGGUUGGGUGGUGGUGCAUGGCCGUUCUUAGUUGGUGGAGUGAUUUGUCUGCUUAAUUGCGUUAACGAACGAGACCUUAACCUGCUUACUAGACUGGCGAUCAUCAAUCGUUAGCUCUUCUUAGAGGGACUUUGGUUGUUUUAACUCCAAGGAAGUUUGAGGCAAUAACAGGUCUGUGAUGCCCUUAGAUAUCCUGGGCCGCACGCGUCAUACAAUGACUAGUUCAGAAAGUUUUCUCCUGACCCGAAAGGGGAUGGGUAAUCUUGAUAAUACUAGUCGUGUUAGGGAUCGACCUUUGCAAUUAUAGAUCUUGAACGAGGAAUUCCUAGUAAGUGCGGUUCAUCAGACCGUACUGAUUACGUCCCUGCUCUUUGUACACACCGCCCGUCGCUUCUACCGAGUGGGUGGUCCGGUGAGAUAAUUGAACUUCGCAGGUAACUGAGAGGAAAGAUUAUCAAACCUAUCCACCUCGAGGAAGAAGAAGUCGUAACAAGGUU
rnacentral:rRNA from 1 species